CAUACGGGUGGCUGCAGUGGGGAAUAUUGGACAAUGGGCGAAAGCCUGAUCCAGCCAUGCCGCGUGUGUGAAGAAGGCCUUCGGGUUGUAAAGCACUUUCAGUGGGGAAGAAAGCCUUGGGGCUAAUACCCUCGAGGAAGGACAUCACCCACAGAAGAAGCACCGGCUAACUCCGUGCCAGCAGCCGCGGUAAUACGGAGGGUGCGAGCGUUAAUCGGAAUUACUGGGCGUAAAGCGCGCGUAGGCGGUCUGAUAAGCCGGUUGUGAAAGCCCCGGGCUCAACCUGGGAACGGCAUCCGGAACUGUCAGGCUAGAGUGCAGGAGAGGAAGGUAGAAUUCCCGGUGUAGCGGUGAAAUGCGUAGAGAUCGGGAGGAAUACCAGUGGCGAAGGCGGCCUUCUGGACUGACACUGACGCUGAGGUGCGAAAGCGUGGGUAGCAAACAGGAUUAGAUACCCGUGUAGUC
rnacentral:rRNA from 1 species